GAAUGGCUUGGCAAACUGAUUGGCUUGAGGCAGGUAGGGGCGAGUGGAACUCUUGGUGGAGCGGUGGAAUGCGUAGAUAUCAAGAGGAACGCCGGUGGCGAAGGCGACUCGCUGGGCCUGUCCUGACGCUCAGGUGCGAAAGCCAGGGGAGCGAACGGGAUUAGAUACCCCGGUAGUCCUGGCCCUAAACGAUGUCCACUAGGUUGGAGCUCUUCUGACAGACUUCCAGCCGAAACAAAAGCGUUAAGUGGACCGCCUGGGGAGUACGGUCGCAAGGCUAAAACUCAAAGGAAUUGACGGGGGCUCACACAAGCGGUGGAGCAUGUUGCUUAAUUCGAUGCAACGCGAAGAACCUUAUCCUGGGCUUGACAUGUUUGGAUGCCUACCUGGAAACAGGGUCGGCUGCCUUCGGGGUGAAACUUGCACAGGUGCUGCAUGGCUGUCGUCAGCUCGUGUCGUGAGAUGUUGGGUUAAGUCCCGUAACGAGCGAAACCCUUGUCGCUAGUUGCCAGCGCGUUAUGGCGGGAACUCUAGCGAGACUGCCGGUGUUAAACCGGAGGAAGGUGGGGAUGACGUCAAGUCCUCAUGGCCUUUAUGCCCAGGGCUGCAAACGUGCUACAAUGGCCGAGACAAACCGAAGCAAAACCGUGAGGUCGAGCAAAUCGGAAAAAAUCGGCCCCAGUUCGGAUUGGAGUCUGCAACUCGACUCCAUGAAGUUGGAAUCGCUAGUAAUCGCAGAUCAGCCAUGCUGCGGUGAAUGUGUUCCUGAGCCUUGUACACACCGCCCGUCAAGUCAUGGAAGCUGGGAGCACCCGAAGUCGGCAUAAUUCAGUGCUGCCGAAGGUGAGCUUGGUAACUGGGACUAAGUCGUAACAAGGU
rnacentral:rRNA from 1 species